rnacentral:tRNA from 2 species
ACGCUACGGACUUAAAAUCCGUCGAUUUUAAAAAUCGUGAGGGUUCAAGUCCCUCUAUCCCCC